rnacentral:lncRNA from 1 species
GCAAUCAAGCUAGAUUUCCCAGUUCCUGGAGGUCCAUAUAAAAGAUACCCUCUUUUCCAAGCCUUACCAACUUUUUUAUAAAAAUCUCUCCUUUUCACAAAUCUAUCAAGAUCUUCAAUUAUCAUCUUUUUCAUAUCAGGUUCCAUAGCCAAAGUAUCAAAAGCCAACUUUUUUAUAAAACUCUCUCCUUUUCACAAAUCUAUCAAGAUCUUCAAUUAUCAUCUUUUUCAUAUCAGGUUCCAUAGCCAAAGUAUCAAAAGUAGCAGGAUGGUCCAAGUUUAUUGAACCCCAAUCCCCACCCCCACCUCCAUACCCAUCAUCAUCACUACCACAAGGACAAUCCCUUGUAUACAAUUUCACAGCCCUAUCAUUAUCU